GCCGCCGGGCCGUCCGUCGCGCGCCGCUCGGUUCGGCGUGAGGAAAGUCCGGGCAACAUAGAGCGCCAUAUUACCUAACGGGUAGCUGUCGGAAUAAAUAACGGCAGAGUAGCGUGACAGAAAAUAACCGCCUGCCCCUUCGUGGGCCGGCAAGGGGGAAAAGGUGAGGUAAGAGCUCACCGGGGCCGACGGCGACAUCGGCUGCCGCACGCCUUAUGGGUUGCAAGGUCAAGUAUACCGGCAAUUAAGGGUUGCUCGCCCGCUGCCGGGGGGUAGACUGCGUAGAUAAAUGACGGGCCACGGCGGCCGUUCACCUCCGGGUGAUAACAGCCGUCGGCGACAUAACCCGGCUUACAACCCGGCCGCCCCG
rnacentral:RNase_P_RNA from 1 species